AUCUCAUAGUUAUGUAAAUUAGAACUAGAAUUUUUCUAUGCAAAUAAAACCCGACAGCGGUGCUCCCUUUUAAGCAAUUGCAAUGGUGAAUCUAAGCAUAAUAGUAUUGACUCUCAAUAUAAAUGUAAUAAACUUUAAUUGGACUAAUAUAAGAUGAGUUUUUGUUUUAACUAAGAAGUUUCUGAUUUUUAUGCCAUGCUUAGGAGGCUGGAAAUUAUGUAAAAGAUGAUGUAUGGCCUGCCCUUAUUGUUGAGACAAGCAAUGCUUCUGAUCUCCAUGGAUAUACUAUCAGGGCUUUAUAUAGGGAAUUCUAACAUCAUCUGAAUAGGCUGAUAUGACCAUGUUAGAAGACGAACGACCAACAAAAAGAUGACUUUCGUCAACCCUUGUUAAGGUCAGUACGUCAGAGUCAGAGCUGUCUUUCUACAUUUAUGCUUCGUACUUCCUAGAAAUUUCAUGAUCUUCCUAUGCAUGCAGGUUCUGAGUUUUUCUCUAUUUGUGCUAGGAUUGGAUCUUUAAAUUAAUGCUCUUUAAAUUAAUACAUGCAGGUUCUGAGUUUUUCUUUGUAUUUCUUGUUUAAUUUUCGAGGGAAGAAGCAAUAUGUUUUGUUGCUUCAGUUGUUGUUUUGCAUGGUAGUACAUCUUGCUAUACCCUGCUAUUUCGUCAAGUUUUGGAGUUAUUACAAAUUUAAUUUAAACUUUAUAUGCUUACAGGUGGAAACUAGCUUAAGUCUUAUGUUCUUAAUAAUAAAAGGACUUUUUUUUACAAUGUGCAGGUAUAUUGAGAUGACUUCUUUGGAGCAAUUCUUGACAACAUUUGUAGUUGAGGACUUUAGAAUGGAAGAAUGUAUUUCACUAAUUUUUGUAUACAUUUAUUUUUUGUAUUUAGUGAUAGAGGAAUCUGAAUUGAGCAUAAAUUAUGUUGUAAUAUGAUCUCAUAAGCCUAGACUAGUAGACUAAAUAUUGUAAUUACAUUUUGAGUAAUUAAUAAAAAUCGAUUUAUGUUACCUUA